rnacentral:lncRNA from 1 species
CCCAGGUACGGUUCCGGUAGACAUUCUGGCCGAGGUUAAUUGGUGCUUAGGGUGGCGGAGUCAAACUGUCACGACCCAGGCUACAGAGCACCAAUAACCAUACGCAGAGGCCAGAUUCUAUCUAAUAUCUUUAUUAAGGAAAUAUAUAUAAAGUUAGUAAAAGCAAAUGUAAAAGAUAGUCCAGAAGCAGACCUUUCAGGAAAGGUCAAAAUUAGUCCAAAGAAAUAAUGUCCAAUAUGAAAUAUUAAGGUCCAAAGUUGUAAUCCAAUAACCGAAACACUCACUUUGACAAGCAAAGUGAGGGGAGAUGACAAGGUCCUUUAGUCCAUGAAACUUGAGCGAGGCUAGGAAAUAACUUGAUACUUGAAACAAGGCUUAAAACGUGGAACAAGGUAACUAGGAACAAGAACAAGGUCCGUGGAAUAACUUGGUAAAAUCCGUGGAACAAGGCAAGGAUUGGUCCUGGGAAACAAGGCAAAGUCCGUAGAUAAACAAAGGCUGGGAAGCAAGGCGAAGGCUGGAUAGCAAGGCAAGGCUUGAGCAGGAGCGAGGCUUGAAUCGGAGCGCGCUGUCCAGACACAACUCGCUCCGUAGGCUGACGAAUUGACUCCGCGAAGUUACUACGCGGGCAAAACACCUAUAUAGAGUCUAACUUUCCCACCGAAGCAGUUCUCUGGGAAUCAGAAACGAAAGCUAAACUCUGAGACCAGAUGUUAAACUCCUUAAAGAUUCUCACGAGAAGCAGUCUUAAUUGGCUACAUUCUUAGCUGCAAUUCUUGCACUCCUGCGCGAAGCUGAAUCCAAACUUCUCUGUUGUUUACAAAACUCCCGGCGCAAGAACACGGGAGAAGUAGGCUCUGGGCUUGUUUGACAUACUUCUGGGAGACAACUUUCUUGCAGGUGCAAGGUUCCCAGAUCUGCCUGGGAAAGAUCUGGCUGAGAGGAAUCCAGUUCAGACUGGGAAGGUAAAAAACCCAAGUUUUCAUCUUCAUCAGGAAUUACCAUGUCCUGAG